UAUUAUAUUAUGAUAUAUAGACAUAGCUGGCAAGCAAAUCGUGAGAUAAUAAUGAUAUCCUACCAUACCAUUACAGUUUUUAACAGAAACCAAAAAACAAUCUACAAACAAUAGUCCUGGGAAUAGAUAACUAGACAUUUUCAGAUUUUCUAUAUGUUAUAAAAUAUAGUUCCAAAUAAAUACAAUUCUGAUUACAACAGCCAAGUAUAAUAUUAUUGUCUACCGAUUUCGUCUAUUUCGUGUAAAACUAAUGCGGAGACAAAUAAUUUACAGCGUGAUAGUGUGGUAAUAUUUUAUAUUUACUCCAAAAACGAGUUUAUAAAAAGACAUUACUGAUAAAAAAAACGUGCAUUGCUGCUGAUCAGUGAGUGGCUUGAAAACUUGAAAACGCAGCUAAUUUAAACGUUACAGAAAACAGUAUUUUCGAGGACGUCAAUCAUUAAAUUUUUUUUUUUAUUAUUGUUAUUGUUUAUAAAAUUAUUAUAAAGUAUGGGGCCCUGUAUAAGCAACUUAAACAUCUUGAACCCAUUUAAAAAAUUUAGGAAGUGAUAGAAAACCAAUGUCAUAUGUGUCGAUGCUUGGUCCCACUUAAUAGUCGCUUUUAUAUAAUUACAAAAUUAUUUAGAAAAACUGUAACUGAUGAUCAAUUCAAAAUUCAAUA